rnacentral:tRNA from 2 species
GGAGAGGUACCCAAGAGGCUGAAGGGGUCGGCUUGCUAAGCCGAUAGGGGGAUCUACAUCCCCGCGAGGGUUCGAAUCCCUCCCUCUCCGCCA